rnacentral:misc_RNA from 1 species
GAUGAAGAACGUAGCGAAAUGCGAUAAGUAAUGUGAAUUGCAGAAUUCAGUGAAUCAUCGAAUCUUUGAACGCACAUUGCGCCCGCCAGUAUUCUGGCGGGCAUGCCUGUUCGAGCGUCAUUUCAACCCUCAGGCCCCCAGUGCCUGGUGUUGGGGAUCGGCCCAGCCUUCCUGUAAGGCCGCCGGCCCCGAAAUCUAGUGGCGGUCUCGCUGUAGUCCUCCUCUGCGUAGUAGCACAACCUCGCAGUUGGAACGCGGCGGUGGCCAUGCCGUUAAACACCCCACUUCUGAAAGUUGACCUCGGAUCAGGUAGGAAUACCCGCUGAACUUAAGCAUAUCAAUAAGCGGAUGA